AUUGAACGCUGGCGGCAGGCCUAACACAUGCAAGUCGAACGAGUGGCGGACGGGUGAGUAAUGUCUGGGAAACUGCCUGAUGGCGGGGGAUAACUACUGGAAACGGUAGCUAAUACCGCAUACCAUCAGAUGUGCCCAGGUGGGAUUAGCUAGUUGGUGGGGUAACGGCUCACCAAGGCGAUGAUCCCCAGCAGGUCAGAGAGGAUGACCAGCAACACGGGACAUGAGACACGGUCCAUACUCAUACGGGAGUCAGCAGGUGGGAAUAUUGCACAAUGGGCGCAAGCCUGAUGCAGCCACGCCGGGUGUAUGAAGAAGGCCUUCGGGUUGUAAAGUACUUUCAGCGGGGAGGCGUUACCCGAAGAAGAAGCACCGGCUAACUCCGUGCCAGCAGCCGCGGUAAUAC
rnacentral:rRNA from 1 species